ACGGGAGGCAGCAGUGGGGAAUAUUGCACAAUGGGCGAAAGCCUGAUGCAGCGACGCCGCGUGAGCGAUGAAGUAUUUCGGUAUGUAAAGCUCUAUCAGCAGGGAAGAUAAUGACGGUACCUGACUAAGAAGCACCGGCUAAAUACGUGCCAGCAGCCGCGGUAAUACGUAUGGUGCAAGCGUUAUCCGGAUUUACUGGGUGUAAAGGGAGCGUAGGCGGAACUUUAAGUCUGAUGUGAAAGCCCGGGGCUCAACUCCGGUACUGCAUUGGAAACUGGAGUUCUAGAGUGUCGGAGGGGUAAGUGGAAUUCCUAGUGUAGCGGUGAAAUGCGUAGAUAUUAGGAGGAACACCAGUGGCGAAGGCGGCUUACUGGACGAUUACUGACGCUGAGGCUCGAAAGCGUGGGGAGCAAACAGGAUUAGAUACCCUGGUA
rnacentral:rRNA from 1 species